GCAGUAGACGCUGAAGACUUUAGCUUGCUAAAGUUGGAAGAGUUGCGAACGGGUGAGUAACGCGUAGGUAACCUGCCUACUAGCGGGGGAUAACUAUUGGAAACGAUAGCUAAUACCGCAUAACAGCAUUUAACCCAUGUUAGAUGCUUGAAAGGAGCAAUUGCUUCACUAGUAGAUGGACCUGCGUUGUAUUAGCUAGUUGGUGAGGUAACGGCUCACCAAGGCGACGAUACAUAGCCGACCUGAGAGGGUGAUCGGCCACACUGGGACUGAGACACGGCCCAGACUCCUACGGGAGGCAGCAGUAGGGAAUCUUCGGCAAUGGGGGCAACCCUGACCGAGCAACGCCGCGUGAGUGAAGAAGGUUUUCGGAUCGUAAAGCUCUGUUGUAAGAGAAGAACGUGUGUGAGAGUGGAAAGUUCACACAGUGACGGUAACUUACCAGAAAGGGACGGCUAACUACGUGCCAGCAGCCGCGGUAAUACGUAGG
rnacentral:rRNA from 1 species